CCCUGCCCGAGGCUCUUUUCACAUUGUGCUACUGAGCCCAACCAAGCAGUGCAAUGUAAAAAGGGCAUUGGGUUGGUG
rnacentral:pre_miRNA from 1 species